rnacentral:tRNA from 1 species
UCCCCGACGUUUUUUUCUAAAAAAGGUCGAUUAUCGGCCUUUCGAGCCGGUGACCCGGGUUCAAAUCCCGGCCGGGGCA